rnacentral:lncRNA from 1 species
ACGAACUCACCUGAGAAAUUCUGUCGAAUGAAAUGAAUUUUCAGGUCCGUUUGGUGCUGCAGUGAUUUAAAAUAUGGCACUCUUGACUUCGUGUGACCUGUGAUAUAGUGAAUGAACCGUGUGGAAGUUGGGUUGGUCAACCGCGGCGUGUUUCGUGUGGUGUCGGUUGACUCAAGUUUAACGGGCAAGCUCUGCGCUGUUUCCAGUGGUAAAGAUAACUUCCGAAAGCGAAAUACACUAGUAGCCGAACUACUGGAAGUACUUACAUAAUCAGCCGUGCCGCCUGUUUCAGCUGACACUGCGCUCUUCUAUUCGGCAUGUGAAUCCAGUUCAGUACAAGUUCACUGUACUCAUUCACUCACUUCUUUCUAGUGCGUCCAUCUUUUGGGCUAGUUGGGCAUAAAUCGCUCGUGUAGCAAUCAAGAACACUGACGCACUGAAGCAUACGUGACAACGCAGUCAUGUUUGAGUCAGUGUGUCGUUAUAGUUGAGCACUGCAAAAAGAAAUUAUCUGUUUGCAACGUGUGCCCUGUGUGCAGUGCAUAGCAGGACCUGCAUCAUGCAAGACCUAUGCAUGUAGCAGCGUAUACCACGAUUGCUUCGAUGCCCGCUUCAGAAGCAGCAAGUACUGAGUCAAUGAAACUGUAAUUGAUUUUUUAUCUCACUUUUUGCUUAUGGAAAGUGUAGAUGGUGUGAGUGCAUUGUGGGGAAGGUGAAAAGGUGUCAUCACUGUUUUAUGCAGUCAGUAUGCUUAAACUGCUGGAAUCCCUUCAGCCUCUACUAAAAUGUUUCUUGCUGCGAUACUAUAAAUUGUAGUCAGGACAAAGAUCUACUCAAAACCAAGUUACUAAUGCAUCUGCGCAGAAUGUGUUUAACAAGUUAACGCUUCCACAACAACAAUAUGCCGAUGCACAGCAUAUGUGCUUACAAUAAAUACAUUCCGUAAAGGUGAACGACUGGGCCUACAAUAUCAAACUUUGUAGUAGCACCGUAAAAAGUGCUGCCAUGCGUAUCAGCCACAACGAAACUGCUGCACGUCCAACCUUCUUCCUUGGAGGCACUUCUAUAAAGACUGUUCGGGCCCUUCCCACUCUGGGUGUAGCAUUUAGCUGUUCUCUCAACUUUUGCGCAUAUGUUACCAGCACUGUAUGUAAGCACCGGCCCUUUCUUGGGUUUGUGUCCCGUGUCUCCCUUCCCUGAUGACCUAAGGUUUUCAGAGCACUCUACACUUCUAUCAUUCUGUCACAACUUGAGUACUGCUCAUCAGUAUAGUUCCCGUACCAAACUCGCGACGCUAACAAACUUAAGCUUGUUCAGCGCCGAACAAUACGCACCCUUUACUCCCGUCUUUUCGCUUGUCACAAGCUCAUGCCAGCCUUCGAGGGUUGCCUCAAACCCCUCAAGUAGCACACCCUGCAAUACCAACGCAACAUUGCACUAGUCUAUACUGCAGGGUGUUUGACGUCUCUCUGGACAGCACUAAUCUUUCUUCAGUUCGUCUGAACAAGUGGUCAGCACAGCCUGAGCCCUCAUCACGUCUCUAUGGCCCGACACCACAACUCCAUGAUUAUAUCUGGCAUGCAGAGCUUUCUCUCCACCCCCCUGGCGAUUUGGAUUCUCCUUCCUUGGAACCAGACUUCAUUGGCACUCCUGUGUGUUGUGCACCUGUCGAAUGUGUGCGUGUGUGCCGUGCGGUGUUAUUGAGCAAGUGUGUGUGCACGUGGAGGGGAAGGAAGUGUCUUCUGCAUCCUGCAAAUUCCUGCUUUAGAUGGCUGGUUAUCAGAUGCUCUAACAUACAGGCAUCAGCCUUCUUUUUAGUCUAGUGUGCCAAGUUACCACUAAGAUUAUUAUUAUUAUUAUUAUUAUUAUUAGAAUCAUCACUUUGACCACAUUGAUUGUGUUGAAGCCAGUGUGACACAUAAUUCAAAAUAUUUCUGGAGCUUUGUGGGCACUCUCUUCUAAAAGGAGUGCCAAAGAUGUACGUCUUCUUCAUGAAAAUAGUGGUGUUGUCUCGAACACUGCUGAUGCCUUUGCAGAACAUUUCUGUUUGCUAUAUGGUGUGAAAUAUGCUUCAAGUAACCUUCCUUCUCAGUCUGGCGCAGUGUAUGCUAACAGUCAAUGAAAACCUCGUUUCCAAGUAUAUGAAGUGCCUUAAACAUUGCCUUAAACUUUCCCUUUCUUGUGGUGUUGAUGGUAUUUCCUCCACAGAGCUCAACCCUUUGAGACGCUGUCUACACAAUUGGGCACAGCAGGAGCGUGCAUCAAUAGCAAAAGCACUGAUGAAAGUAAUGGUAUUUAAAAUGUGUUUCAUACAUCUUGAAACACUUAUUAUUGGAACUGUGCUGCAAUUUUGAAUAAUGUGCAGAAUGUUUUAACAAAAUGAGUGGGAAGGUAGACGGCUGGGUGUUGUUACUCUGUGUCAGUAUGUUGUAUGUAGCGGGUUCACUUCUUUCAUGGUUUUUUACAAUGUCGUGCACCAGGCAUAAUUGUCAAGUGGCUGGAUAAGUGCUUUUCAAGCUUUUCAAAACACGAAAUAGUACAUGUUUUCAUAUUUUGUGUUCCUGUAGUGAGUUUUCGCAUGGAGUCGAAAUUUUGUAAACUUGACAAAACUCGCUAAACAAUUGAAAAUUCUUAAUAUUUGCUGCAGCUGUACACUUUCUACGAUUCUGAGGAUGCAAGAGAUGUGGUGAAAGCAACUUUUUAAUCAACGGGAUAAAGUGGUGUCUGAAAGGGUUAAGACGUAUGGAAGCAUACUGGUUCCUCGUUCUCACAAGCAUCUUCAAUAGUUCCCUAAAGUCUAGUACCUUUUCUAGCACUCGGAAGGUAGCAUGAACAUUGCCCAUGCACAAAUCAGGUGCUAGAUGUGCAGUUACUAACUGCCGACCUAUAUCUAUCCUCUUCAGUGCGUCAGGUGUUUGAAUCGAUAUGGGAUUCCUUGCUUUCUGUUAGUGCUAAGAGCAUUUUAAUAAAUGAACAGCAUGACUCUGUGUGCCGACAACUUAAAACUAUUUCAGACUGUCAACAGUGUUCACCACUGCAUUGACUUCCAAUAAGACAUUUUUUCACUCUCAAACUGGUGCAGAAGCAAUAAGUACUCUUAAAUGCUUCCAACAAUAUGGCAUUAAGUUAUAUGCACAAAACGCACCAUGUGAAAUUUUGAUACACCCUACGUGAUGCUCCACUCCUUAGGGUCAAUGAAAUGAAAGAUCUUUGUGUAUACUUCGACAAAAUGCUAAGCUUCUCUUCACAUAGAUAAUUACACAAGAUGCCCUUCACGCUCUUGGAAUUGCAUCCCGUAUAUUGCAUGAUUUCCACUCACCUGUUGUGUUUCUGAAAUACUGCUGUGUGCCUCCAACUACUAGAGUAUGCCUGUGUAGGAGAGGGGUGCAAUGAGCAAAUCUAAUUCUGACCUCAUUGAACGCAUCCAGAAUAAAUUGAUGUCUAUCUUCAAGCACCACUUUUGCCAUUCUGGCGACCACAGUUGAGCCUUCUCAAAUAUACUUCAACUCGCACCUCUAGAUUCAAGUCUUAAUUGCACCUUUUGUUCCUGUAUAAGGUGGUCCAUGACAUUAUACAUUCCUUAAAGCUUCCUGAUCAUAUGCAUUUGUUUGUGCCGCAACAGUAUACCAGGUAGCAUUCCACAUUCGUUGCCUGGGCUUGUUACAAGGUUGUGCUAAUAAGACUCGACUCCAAAACAUACUUCAGAGUUCAUUUCCUGUGUUUUGUGUAUCUGUAGAUAAUCACGUAGGAUUAACUCCCUUUUACUUUUCCGCGUUUCCUUUUUUCCCUAUUUGUUUCUCUAUCUUCCAUUUUUUUGUCUACUACAUUCAUGUUUUCUCUACAUUUUGUCUCACAUAGUGCUCGUUAAGUGCACCAGUACGAAGGCUCUCUAGCUGUUCCUGGGCACAACAAUAAAAAUUUGAAUGAUUGAUUAUUAUCGUAGUAUAAAAUUGUGCUUUUUAAGUAUGUACUAGUAUACUAUUUUAGUGCAGUAGCUUUCGUGCAAUUAAAAAAAGGGCAUGAAUUAAGAAGAGAGAGAGAAAAUGAUAAAUGAAAGAUAGGGAGGUUAACCAGCACGAUGGAUGCUGACCUUGUUGGAGAAGGACGCCUGUGGUCGUCCUUCUGGCAUGAAUUAAGAAAGUGCAAUAAUAUGCUAUGUGCCUGAUCAUAUGUAUCGUGCUAUUAAUUUCUUCUGAGUUUUAAUAAUGGCUGGCCACUGUAUGCAGUGUUGUGCAAUAAAAUAAUAUGCCACAGCAA